rnacentral:rRNA from 1 species
GACGAACGCUGGCGGCGUGCCUAAUACAUGCAAGUUGAGCGCUGAAGGUUGGUACUUGUCCCAACUGGAUGAGCAGCGAACGGGUGAGUAACGCGUGGGGAAUCUGCCUUUGAGCGGGGGACAACAUUUGGAAACGAAUGCUAAUACCGCAUAAAAACUUUAAACACAAGUUUUAAGUUUGAAAGAUGCAAUUGCAUCACUCAAAGAUGAUCCCGCGUUGUAUUAGCUAGUUGGUGAGGUAAAGGCUCACCAAGGCGAUGAUACAUAGCCGACCUGAGAGGGUGAUCGGCCAAAUUGGGACUGAGACACGGCCCAAACCCCGACGGGAGGCAGCAGUGGGGAAUUUUCGGAAAUGGAAGAAAGUCUGACCGAGCAACCCCGCGGGGGUGAAGAAGUUUUUCGGAUCGUAAAACUCUGUUGGUAGAGAAAAACGUUGGGGAGAGUGGAAAGCUCAUCAAGUGACGGUAACUACCCAGAAAGGGACGGCUAACUACGU